rnacentral:misc_RNA from 1 species
GAUGAAGAACGUAGCGAAAUGCGAUAAGUAAUGUGAAUUGCAGAAUUCAGUGAAUCAUCGAAUCUUUGAACGCACAUUGCGCCCGCCAGUAUUCUGGCGGGCAUGCCUGUUCGAGCGUCAUUUCAACCAUCAAGCCCCAGGCUUGUGUUGGGGACCUGCGGCUGCCGCAGGCCCUGAAAACCAGUGGCGGGCUCGCUGUCACACCGGGCGUAGUAGAUUUUAUCUCGCUCAGGGCGUGCUGCGGGUUCCGGCCGUUAAAAAGCCUUUUUUACCCAAGGUUGACCUCGGAUCAGGUAGGAAGACCCGCUGAACUUAACCAUAUCAAUAAGCGGAGGA